rnacentral:rRNA from 1 species
AGAGUUUGAUCCUGGCUCAGAUUGAACGCUGGCGGCAGGCUUAACACAUGCAAGUCGAACGGUAGCAGGAAGAAAGCUUGCUUUCUUUGCUGACGAGUGGCGGACGGGUGAGUAAUGCUUGGGAAUCUGGCUUAUGGAGGGGGAUAACUGUGGGAAACUGCAGCUAAUACCGCGUAUUCUCUGAGGAGGAAAGGGUGGGACCUUAGGGCCACCUGCCAUAAGAUGAGCCCAAGUGGGACUAGGUAGUUGGUGGGGUAAAGGCCUACCAAGCCUACGAUCUCUAGCUGGUCUGAGAGGAUGGCCAGCCACACUGGAACUGAGACACGGUCCAGACUCCUACGGGAGGCAGCAGUGGGGAAUAUUGCACAAUGGGGGGAACCCUGAUGCAGCCAUGCCGCGUGAAUGAAGAAGGCCUUCGGGUUGUAAAGUUCUUUCGGUGAUGAGGAAGGUGUUUUGUUUAAUAGACAAAGCAAUUGACGUUAGUCACAGAAGAAGCACCGGCUAACUCCGUGCCAGCAGCCGCGGUAAUACGGAGGGUGCGAGCGUUAAUCGGAAUAACUGGGCGUAAAGGGCACGCAGGCGGAUUGUUAAGUGAGAUGUGAAAGCCCCGGGCUUAACCUGGGAAUUGCAUUUCAGACUGGCAGUCUAGAGUAUUUUAGGGAGGGGUAGAAUUCCACGUGUAGCGGUGAAAUGCGUAGAGAUGUGGAGGAAUACCGAAGGCGAAGGCAGCCCCUUGGGAAUAUACUGACGCUCAUGUGCGAAAGCGUGGGGAGCAAACAGGAUUAGAUACCCUGGUAGUCCACGCUGUAAACGAUGUUGAUUUGGGGAUUGGGCUUUAAGCUUGGUGCCCGUAGCUAACGUGAUAAAUCAACCGCCUGGGGGAGUACGGCCGCAAGGUUAAAACUCAAAGGAAUUGACG